UUGGCUACUCCGCCCGCUGGCUCUAUUUCUAUUUAUUUUUCUAUUUAUUUCCUAUUGUAAUUUAUUAAUUUUUUUUUUAUUUCRAAUAUUUAAAUUCUAAAUCCUAUUUUAUUUARAAUUUUCUUUCGACRAUUUUCUUUUGUAUUUCUGARAUAUUUCCACUUUUGAUAAUGUAACAAAUAUAAAGAAAAAAAAGGAGCAAUAUCMCCCUCUUGAUARAACAARAAGGUAAUUUUUGCUCCUUUUUUUUUU
rnacentral:misc_RNA from 1 species